CAGUCGCCGCGGUAAUACGGAGGGUGCAAGCGCUAAUCGGAAUUACUGGGCGUAAAGCGCACGCAGGCGGUUUGUUAAGUCAGAUGUGAAAUCCCCGAGCUUAACUUGGGAACUGCAUUUGAAACUGGCAAGCUAGAGUCUUGUAGAGGGGGGUAGAAUUCCAGGUGUAGCGGUGAAAUGCGUAGAGAUCUGGAGGAAUACUGGCGGCGAAGGCGGCCCCCUGGACAAAGACUGACGCUCAGGUGCGAAGGCGUGGGGAGCAAACAGGAUUAGAGACCCGCGUAGUCCCUGUCUCUUAUAC
rnacentral:rRNA from 1 species